CAAUAGCGUAUAUUAAAGUUGUUGCGGUUAAAAAGCUCGUAGUUGGAUUUCUGUUGAGGACGGCCGGUCCGCACUAUGUGCGUGUAUCUGGUUCGGCCUUGGCAUCCUUCUGGGGAACGGUGCUGCGCUUGAUUGCGUGGUCCGGUAUUCAGAACUUUUACUUUGAGGAAAUUAGAGUGUUCACGGCAGGCAAGCGCCUUGAAUAUAUUAGCAUGGAAUAAUAAUAUAGGAUCUCGGUUCUAUUUUGUUGGUUUCUAGAAUCAGGAUAAUGAUUAAUAGGGAUAAUUGGGGGCAUUUGUAUUAACGCGUCAGAGGUGGAAUUCUUGGAUUGCGUUACGACAAACUACUGCGAAAGCAUUUGCCAAGGAUGUUUUCAUUGAUCAAGAACGAAAGUAUGGGGAUCGAAGACGAUCAGAU
rnacentral:rRNA from 1 species